rnacentral:rRNA from 1 species
AGCGAACGCUGGCGGCGUGCCUAACACAUGCAAGUCGAACGUGAAAUGUAGCAAUACAAAGUAAAGUGGCGUACGGGUGAGUAACGCGUAGGUAAUCUACCCCAGAGUCUGGAAUAACCGGCCGAAAGGCUGGCUAAUACUGGAUAGAGCGACGGAAUCCGUAAUCGGAUUUUUCGGGAAAGGGAGCUCGUAAGAGCCUUCGCUUUGGGAUGAGCCUGCGUCUCAUUAGCUAGUUGGUAGGGUAAUGGCCUACCAAGGCAUUGAUGGGUAGCUGGUCUGAGAGGAUGAUCAGCCACACUGGAACUGAAACACGGUCCAGACUCCUACGGGUGGCAG